UACGUAGGGUGCAGGCGUUAAUCGGAAUUACUGGGCGUAAAGCGUGCGCAGGCGGUCUGCUAAGUGAGGUGUGAAAUCCCCGGGCUUAACCUGGGAACUGCGCUUCUAACUGGCAGGCUUGAGUGUGGCAGAGGGGGGUGGAAUUCCACGCGUAGCAGUGAAAUGCGUAGAGAUGUGGAGGAACACCGAUGGCGAAGGCAGCCCCCUGGGCUAACACUGACGCUCAUGCACGAAAGCGUGGGGAGCAAACAGG
rnacentral:rRNA from 1 species